rnacentral:rRNA from 1 species
GGGUUGUGAGGUUAAGCGACUAAGCGUACACGGUGGAUGCCCUGGCAGUCAGAGGCGAUGAAGGACGUGCUAAUCUGCGAUAAGCGUCGGUAAGGUGAUAUGAACCGUUAUAACCGGCGAUUUCCGAAUGGGGAAACCCAGUGUGUUUCGACACACUAUCAUUAACUGAAUCCAUAGGUUAAUGAGGCGAACCGGGGGAACUGAAACAUCUAAGUACCCCGAGGAAAAGAAAUCAACCGAGAUUCCCCCAGUAGCGGCGAGCGAACGGGGAGCAGCCCAGAGCCUGAAUCAGUGUGUGUGUUAGUGGAAGCGUCUGGAAAGGCGCGCGAUACAGGGUGACAGCCCCGUACACAAAAAUGCACAUGCUGUGAGCUCGAUGAGUAGGGCGGGACACGUGGUAUCCUGUCUGAAUAUGGGGGGACCAUCCUCCAAGGCUAAAUACUCCUGACUGACCGAUAGUGAACCAGUACCGUGAGGGAAAGGCGAAAAGAACCCCGGCGAGGGGAGUGAAAAAGAACCUGAAACCGUGUACGUACAAGCAGUGGGAGCCUCUUUUAUGGGGUGACUGCGUACCUUUUGUAUAAUGGGUCAGCGACUUAUAUUCUGUAGCAAGGUUAACCGAAUAGGGGAGCCGAAGGGAAACCGAGUCUUAACUGGGCGUUAAGUUGCAGGGUAUAGACCCGAAACCCGGUGAUCUAGCCAUGGGCAGGUUGAAGGUUGGGUAACACUAACUGGAGGACCGAACCGACUAAUGUUGAAAAAUUAGCGGAUGACUUGUGGCUGGGGGUGAAAGGCCAAUCAAACCGGGAGAUAGCUGGUUCUCCCCGAAAGCUAUUUAGGUAGCGCCUCGUGAAUUCAUCUCCGGGGGUAGAGCACUGUUUCGGCAAGGGGGUCAUCCCGACUUACCAACCCGAUGCAAACUGCGAAUACCGGAGAAUGUUAUCACGGGAGACACACGGCGGGUGCUAACGUCCGUCGUGAAGAGGGAAACAACCCAGACCGCCAGCUAAGGUCCCAAAGUCAUGGUUAAGUGGGAAACGAUGUGGGAAGGCCCAGACAGCCAGGAUGUUGGCUUAGAAGCAGCCAUCAUUUAAAGAAAGCGUAAUAGCUCACUGGUCGAGUCGGCCUGCGCGGAAGAUGUAACGGGGCUAAACCAUGCACCGAAGCUGCGGCAGCGACGCUUAUGCGUUGUUGGGUAGGGGAGCGUUCUGUAAGCCUGUGAAGGUGUGCUGUGAGGCAUGCUGGAGGUAUCAGAAGUGCGAAUGCUGACAUAAGUAACGAUAAAGCGGGUGAAAAGCCCGCUCGCCGGAAGACCAAGGGUUCCUGUCCAACGUUAAUCGGGGCAGGGUGAGUCGACCCCUAAGGCGAGGCCGAAAGGCGUAGUCGAUGGGAAACAGGUUAAUAUUCCUGUACUUGGUGUUACUGCGAAGGGGGGACGGAGAAGGCUAUGUUGGCCGGGCGACGGUUGUCCCGGUUUAAGCGUGUAGGCUGGUUUUCCAGGCAAAUCCGGAAAAUCAAGGCUGAGGCGUGAUGACGAGGCACUACGGUGCUGAAGCAACAAAUGCCCUGCUUCCAGGAAAAGCCUCUAAGCAUCAGGUAACAUCAAAUCGUACCCCAAACCGACACAGGUGGUCAGGUAGAGAAUACCAAGGCGCUUGAGAGAACUCGGGUGAAGGAACUAGGCAAAAUGGUGCCGUAACUUCGGGAGAAGGCACGCUGAUAUGUAGGUGAAGUCCCUCGCGGAUGGAGCUGAAAUCAGUCGAAGAUACCAGCUGGCUGCAACUGUUUAUUAAAAACACAGCACUGUGCAAACACGAAAGUGGACGUAUACGGUGUGACGCCUGCCCGGUGCCGGAAGGUUAAUUGAUGGGGUCAGCGCAAGCGAAGCUCUUGAUCGAAGCCCCGGUAAACGGCGGCCGUAACUAUAACGGUCCUAAGGUAGCGAAAUUCCUUGUCGGGUAAGUUCCGACCUGCACGAAUGGCGUAAUGAUGGCCAGGCUGUCUCCACCCGAGACUCAGUGAAAUUGAACUCGCUGUGAAGAUGCAGUGUACCCGCGGCAAGACGGAAAGACCCCGUGAACCUUUACUAUAGCUUGACACUGAACAUUGAGCCUUGAUGUGUAGGAUAGGUGGGAGGCUUUGAAGUGUGGACGCCAGUCUGCAUGGAGCCGACCUUGAAAUACCACCCUUUAAUGUUUGAUGUUCUAACGUUGACCCGUAAUCCGGGUUGCGGACAGUGUCUGGUGGGUAGUUUGACUGGGGCGGUCUCCUCCUAAAGAGUAACGGAGGAGCACGAAGGUUGGCUAAUCCUGGUCGGACAUCAGGAGGUUAGUGCAAUGGCAUAAGCCAGCUUGACUGCGAGCGUGACGGCGCGAGCAGGUGCGAAAGCAGGUCAUAGUGAUCCGGUGGUUCUGAAUGGAAGGGCCAUCGCUCAACGGAUAAAAGGUACUCCGGGGAUAACAGGCUGAUACCGCCCAAGAGUUCAUAUCGACGGCGGUGUUUGGCACCUCGAUGUCGGCUCAUCACAUCCUGGGGCUGAAGUAGGUCCCAAGGGUAUGGCUGUUCGCCAUUUAAAGUGGUACGCGAGCUGGGUUUAGAACGUCGUGAGACAGUUCGGUCCCUAUCUGCCGUGGGCGCUGGAGAACUGAGGGGGGCUGCUCCUAGUACGAGAGGACCGGAGUGGACGCAUCACUGGUGUUCGGGUUGUCAUGCCAAUGGCACUGCCCGGUAGCUAAAUGCGGAAGAGAUAAGUGCUGAAAGCAUCUAAGCACGAAACUUGCCCCGAGAUGAGUUCUCCCUGACUCCUUGAGAGUCCUGAAGGAACGUUGAAGACGACGACGUUGAUAGGCCGGGUGUGUAAGCGCAGCGAUGCGUUGAGCUAACCGGUACUAAUGAACCGUGAGGCUUAACCUUACAACGCCGAAG